AUGUUCAAGCUGGUUUUAGAAAAGGCAGAGGAACCAGAGAUCAAAUUGCCAACAUCUGCUGGAUCAUCGAAAAAGCAAGAGAGUUCCAGAAAAAACAUCUAUUUCUGCUUUAUUGACUAUGUCAAAGCCUUUGACUAUGUGGAUCACAAUAAACUGUGGAAAAUUCUGAGAGAGAUGGGAAUACCAGACCACCUAACCUGCCUCUUGAGAAAUCUGUAUGCAGGUCAGGAAGCAACAGUUAGAACUGGACAUGGAACAACAGACUGGUUCCAAAUAGGAAAAGGAGUACGUCAAAACUGUAUAUUGUCAACCUGCUUAUUUAACUUCUAUGCAGAGUACAUCAUGAGAAAUGCUGGGCUGGAAGAAAGACAAGCUGGAAUCAAGAUUGCCGGGAGAAAUAUCAAUAACCUCAGAUAUGCAGAUGACACCACCCUUAUGGCAGAAAGUGAAGAGGAACUCAAAAGCCUCUUGAUGAAAGUGAAAGAGGAGAGCGAAAAAGUUGGCCUAAAGCUCAACAUUCAGAAAACGAAGAUCAUGGCAUCUGGUCCCAUCACUUCAUGGGAAAUAGAUGGGGAAACAAUGGAAACAGUGUCAGACUUUAUUUUUUGGGGCUCCAAAAUCACUGCAGAUGGUGACUGCAGCCAUGAAAUGAAAAGAUGCUUACUCCUUGGAAGAAAAGUUAUGACCAACCUAGAUAGCAUAUUGAAAAGCAGAGACAUUACUUUGCCGACUAAGGUCCGUCUAGUCAAGGCCAUGGUUUUUCCAGUGGUCAUGUAUGGAUGUGAGAGUUGGACUGUGAAGAAGGCUGAGCGUCGAAGAAUUGAUGCUUUUGAACUGUGGUGUUGGAGAAGACUCUUGAGAGUCCCUUGGACUGCAAGGAGAUUCAACCAGUCCAUUCUGAAGGAGAUCAGCCCUGGGAUUUCUUUGGAAGGAAUGAUGCUAAAGCUGAAACUCCAGGGCUUGGCCCACCUCAUGCGAAGAGUUGACUCACUAGAAAAGACUCUGAUGCUGGGAGGGAUUGGGGGCAGGAGGAGAAGGGGACGACAGAGGAUGAGAUGGCUGGAUAGCAUCACGGACUCGAUGGAUGUGAGUUUGAGUGAACUCUGGGAGUUGGUGAUGGACAGGGAGGCCUAG
rnacentral:lncRNA from 1 species